rnacentral:sRNA from 1 species
AACUAGCCCCGAUAGUAGCGGUAUCCUUUUUGGUGGCUUCGAGAACCUCAGCCAUCAAAAAGAUAUAGCGGAUAGCGGGAAAAUGG